rnacentral:lncRNA from 1 species
UCCGGUAUAACUAAGACUCAAAACAUUUACUAGACUCGACUCGGCCAAAUACGAUCACACAAAGGCUCCUAUGGUCGUAAGGCUCUGAUUACCAACUUGUAACGACCAAGAUGCGGUCCUUUCCGAUCUGGGGGUCGAGGCCCCGAAUAGGAAAGAAGCGCAUCUAAGUGUUUUGCAAGCAAGUAAACAUAGCACAUAAUAAUAAAUAAAG